AGUGGCGAACGGGUGAGUAACGCGUGAGGAACCUGCCCUGGAGUGGGGGACAACAGUUGGAAACGACUGCUAAUACCGCAUAAGCCCACGAUCCGGCAUCGGAUUGAGGGAAAAGGAUUUAUUCGCUUCAGGAUGGACUCGCGUCCAAUUAGCUAGUUGGUGAGGUAACGGCCCACCAAGGCGACGAUUGGUAGCCGGACUGAGAGGUUGAACGGCCACAUUGGGACUGAGACACGGCCCAGACUCCUACGGGAGGCAGCAGUGGGGGAUAUUGCACAAUGGGGGAAACCCUGAUGCAGCGACGCCGCGUGGAGGAAGAAGGUUUUCGGAUUGUAAACUCCUGUCGUUAGGGACGAUAAUGACGGUACCUAACAAGAAAGCACCGGCUAACUACGUGCCAGCAGCCGCGGUAAUACGUAGGUGACAAGCGUUGUCCGGAUUUACUGGGUGUAAAGGGCGCGUAGGCGGACUGUCAAGUCAGUCGUGAAAUACCGGGGCUUAACCCCGGGGCUGCGAUUGAAACUGACAGCCUUGAGUAUCGGAGAGGAAAGCGGAAUUCCUAGUGUAGCGGUGAAAUGCGUAGAUAUUAGGAGGAACACCAGUGGCGAAGGCGGCUUUCUGGACGACAACUGACGCUGAGGCGCGAAAGUGUGGGGAGCAAACAGGAUUAGAUACCCUGGUAAGUCCACACCGUAAACGAUGGAUACUAGGUGUAGGAGGUAUCGACCCCUUCUGUGCCGCAGUUAACACAAUAAGUAUCCCACCUGGGGAGUACGACCGCAAGGUUGAAACUCAAAGGAAUUGACGGGGGCCCGCACAAGCAGUGGAGUAUGUGGUUUAAUUCGAAGCAACGCGAAGAACCUUACCUGGGCUUGACAUCCCUGGAAUCGAGUAGAGAUACUUGAGUGCCUUCGGGAAUCAGGUGACAGGUGGUGCAUGGUUGUCGUCAGCUCGUGUCGUGAGAUGUUGGGUUAAGUCCCGCAACGAGCGCAACCCCUAUCCUCAGUAGCCAGCAUUUAAGGUGGGCACUCUGGGGAGACUGCCAGGGAUAACCUGGAGGAAGGCGGGGAUGACGUCAAAUCAUCAUGCCCCUUAUGAUUUGGGCUACACACGUGCUACAAUGGCGUAAACAAAGGGAAGCGAGAUCGUGAGAUGGAGCAAAUCCCAAAAAUAACGUCCCAGUUCGGACUGUAGUCUGCAACCCGACUACACGAAGCUGGAAUCGCUAGUAAUCGCGGAUCAGAAUGCCGCGGUGAAUACGUUCCCGGGUCUUGUACACACCGCCCGUCA
rnacentral:rRNA from 1 species